ensembl:lncRNA
UAAUUACAGGGCUGAGUUCAGCUGCUGCUAAAUGCACACAGCCAGUCACGGGGCUUCCAAAAACAAACACCAUGCUUCGUCUUCAGCCUUCAGAGAGGCACUGCCAGCUGCUUCUCCCUUUCUUUCAUAAGCUGCUGGGAUGCACUGAGCUGCCCAUGGCUGGCAGUCCAUUUUGCUGUAGAGGAGCCACUGCCCCCAUGUCACAGCAGCUUGCAGGCAGAGAUGUCAGCAGAGGGGCUGCAGCACAGAGCCUGUGCUGAACCAUAGAAUCAACCACUUUUCCUUGCAGGUGUUGUUCGGUUUCCAAGGAACUUGGUCAAAUCUGAAGGCUGGGACAAAUGAAGAUACAGGGAGUUGCCUGGGGCCAGGACACAGAGUGUUUACACACAGUCUGCUCCAUAUAAUAAGUGAGAGAAGGAAUCAUAAAACAGAUGUUCUGUGCAAAGUGCAAAUUAGCCAGGCACUGAACCUCAUUCCUUUCCACUUAUAACAGCUGUAAAUGCACGGAUUCUGCGUGUGAGUUUGCUGGAUAACUUCUCUGCAACAUGUUGCUGGUCUGGAGCAGCGGUGCCAUGGGUUUCUGUGCCCUGCUUGGAGAAAACAGCACAGACAGCCAAACGCAGCAUGCAUCUGCACCACCUGCCCAGCUGCCCUCUUGCUUCUUCUGAUCUCUCCUUUUUCCAAGACCAUCAGUUCCAGUUCUACCAGGAGCACACAGUGCUGUGCCCACUGAAAUGGAGGAUGAACUCAAGGUCUCCAAGCUGAACUUAAUUUCUUUGCUUAACGUGGCAUUGUUUGGUAAGGAUACUGUGGACAUAACUACAUAGCAUGGAAUGGAGUGCUAAAACACUUCAGCACUCCUGAUGGUAACUCCCAUUUGUUUAGACAGUGUCAAUUAACUCUGCUACUGAUGACUUACUUCUGAAGUUGAACGGCAAAGAAAUAGUAAAUUCUCUGGAAGAGAUAUGGCUGCACCCAUGCGUGCAGAACAGGAGAAAGGUUUCCUCUACCUUAAAGCAAAAUCCUGCUCCCAGUGCCCUACAGGCUUCUCCCAUUGUGCUCUUUUCCAAGUGCACAGCACAGUGUGCUGCUUUGCUCUUGAUGGACCAGGUUUUCAACCAGAGAAAACACUCCUAAUCCCAUUGGGGUGGAUGGAGAUGUUCCAAUGCACUCUGGCUGGAAACCUGCUCCAGUGUACACUGUUUACUCUUGAGGAUCUAAGCACGCUUGCUUCAAACAAAGUUCUGCUUGAUAAAAGUUUGUUUGCUGGGUUGCCUUGCCUCGGUCCCUCCUGAAAGUGUACACAACAGUGUUUGUACAUAACAGGAGAAAAUGAAGCAAAUGUGUUCCAAGACCUCACUUGCAGGUCCUAACAAACUCAAGAGAUGGGGAGGUUUGCUAGGUACUUAUUAAAAUAACCAUAAUCAUAUUUAUUAUUAUCAUGCAAGUACAGGAGAAAAAAGGUUUUUAUUAUGGGCUGGCAGCAGAAGCCCAGAGCAGGUGCUAAUCAUUGUGAUAAGCGAGCUGUUGGUUUGCAGGGGCUUUGUGUAUUCAGGUAUUUAGUGCAUCCAACUGCAGGCAGAGGUUUUGGUUAGCCAAGGUGCUCAGUAACCUCCCAGCAGCCCCCAGUCCUUCCUGAUGGGCAGUACAGAAUAUGUUGCGUCUCCUACCUACUUUUUCACCCCUUUCCUGUUGAAAGCUUUCCUUUUCAUCUCUUCUCUAUUUUACUGUUCCCCUCCCUAUAUUUUUUUUCUUAGCUCACCUAGAGCAGUCAAAGUAGCAAAGAAGAAAACAAAUUGUAACUCUGAGUUUUCUAAUGGAAGAAUGGGCAUGUUUUUGGCAUUUCUUCUCCCCAUUGUUUUGCUAAGACAGACUCUCCUUAACUCUCCUUUUCCAUUCCGGUGACUGCCCUUCCUUUCUAAAUCCAGAUUUCUUCCCACUUGUGCUCUCUCUUCCCUCCCUCCUGACUCAUUUCCACUUCUCAUUUUGGCUAUUUCUUUUCUCUUUCCUUUUCCUUCUUCCUCUGAUCUUAUUCUGCUAUUUUAAAGUCUUUCUCCAUCCUUAGCUUGUGUGCCUCUCUGCUCUCUGCUCUGGACUGAAGGCACCGCCUGGGCAGCAGUCUCCUCAAAACCCAGCUUCUUCUAACCCGGAGACUUGAGAGGAGCACCAUUUGCCUUUGUGUGUGACCUCUGCCAUCACCACUGUCCUCGCACAGUCUUUAGGCUCUCCAGGAAUUUCAAAAUCUAGUUAAAGCUCCCUCCCCUUGUCUUGUUCUGUUCUGUAAUUUCUGACCCAUCUAACCAAGGCCUUCUUUCCAGGCAGUUUGGUCACUGUACUACUCGUGCCAAAUACUUCUUCUGUGCAGCUUUGCCAUCUGGAACAGCCUGUAUGCCUUCAGCCUCACCGACUGGCCAUAUAGUUUCCAGUUUCAGCCGAAAAGAAUUUUCCUUUACUGUCAUCCCAUAGCAAUCUGAAUGUCGGAUGUAGGCAGCAAACAUUCAGCCAUUUAUUUUCUGCGGUGUGGGAAUAGUUCUCGUACUCGAAGCAAUUUCAGUUUUAAAGGAGCCCUGGAGCUUGUGGAAUGCAGGCAGCUCUUAGAUCUUUCAUCCUCAGUCUCACUAGCAACUGGCUACGGUUUCUGUAGGCUUUUCCACCAGACAUCCUAUUUGCUGGAAUUGCCAGUGAAUACCUUGCUCUGGCACAAAAUAUAUUUAGAAGGGUAAAUUAAGGGGGAAAAAAUGAUUUCAUGAAAGGUGGAAGGGAAAGGAAAAGAUUUUUUUUUUUCCUGAAUGCUAAAAUACUGCAUUAUUACCUACAAAGGAAUUCUUGUAAUAAUCAAAGCUGGGAGGUCCAAUAGCUGUCAGUGCAAUGAAUGCUCAGCAUUCACCCCUAAAGACCUUCUUUACUUGGGAUAUCAGACACAGUAUGCUCGUGAUGGGAGGGAAUCAGACCUCCAUAUAUCACACAACACCACUAGCCAUAACUUUUAGGGUUUGGCUGGCAAUGAAUAAAUAUCAAGCCUGCAAGUUCAAAAUAGUCUUUGAAAUACUGCCUUGAAUUCAGAUUUUCAAAUCACACCCUGAUGGGUCUCUUUCAGAGAUCUCCCCAAAAGUAAGUACAAAUAUUUCACUUCAGCAGCGAAAUCCCCAGGGCACUAGAUACGCUUCACUGCAGAUUAGCCAGAGCCUGUGGAGUUAUAAGAUUCCUGAGAUGGGGUGCUGAAGAUUCCAGGAAUUCCCUCAAAGGUGAAAUGAUCAACCAGCCUUUUGUUCCUGGAGCACAACAAUGCAGAGAGCAGGUCUGCAUUCACCGCCUCCUGUGCUGGCCUUGGUUUGUACCACAUCUGAAACGUUCACCAGCCUUAAGUCUGAGCUGGAAUUCAAGAAUCUCAUUUCAGAAUUAUCGGAGAAGUAAAGAACUAAAUAUUAGUGACCAAAGCGAGAUGUGACAUUGAGCAGCAGCUUACUUUUUCUCUCUUGAUCCCUUUCUGGAGAUUUCAAUCUACUUUAUAGGCAUAAAGAAUUAUUAAUUUCUUCUUCUGAUACACCGAUCCACACUAUUCCAUAGAGCAAAAGCACUAUUCCUUUUCUGUACCGGAACCAGGGCAGCAGUCGCGCGCAGUAAUGUUAUUGGAGGAGGUAGAAAGAACAGGAGAAUUCAGGGCAGAGACUACGACAGAGCUUUUGCUCUCCAGGAGGAGAAGGAUGCCUGUGUCUUCUCUACCUGGAACUGGCCACACAGCCAGAGUCUGGUUUUCAGAUCACAAAGGACAGCACAGCAGUACAGUGAGCUGCUUAGAUGAAGGAGCUCUCAUGCAUUGUCUGGAGCUUGAAUAAACGAAGGUGACAGCAAAGAGCACAUUGAGAAGGUAAUGGGCUCCUUGCAAGAGCAAUCUUUUACUGUGCCCAUGGUGUUUCUCUCACCAUAUGGAUGUUUUCAGUGCUAAAGCAGAAGGAUAGCGUUGGCCUGUUUUCUCCCCAAAACAAACUUAAGAAGGCUUUACUAUAAAGCAUCAGUCCUGUUGAAGAUCAAACACAAUAAAACAAAGGGAUAAUGCUUUAGUGAGUGCCCAGCGCACAGAGGCACCCCAAGGAUGGAGUGAUCUGUUCUUUGGUGGUAUAUGGAGAGUAUGUUUGUUCUAUGGGCCAGCCUAAGAAGCAUUAUUGUGAGGCCCUUGUUGGUAGUUUGGUGGCACUGAUUAACAGGACAGGUUGUCAGGUGUCCUCCCGAGCCUUCCUCAGCACAGCGUGGGACGUCCCAUCCACCACCUCCACCAGUGAAAUUCUCCAGCACAGAUAAAUCAUUUCUUCUGCUCCUCACAAAAUGCUCAUUAAAAAUGUAUCUGAUAUCCAUCUGA